UUGAUUGUGCUGACUUCUACUUUUAUGGCUUGUAUUGGCUAAAUUGAUUUAUGGAGUGGUAGGGGCAUCUGUAGCAUGAUAGGUUUGUAUAACUUGUUUUAGUUAAACCAAGUUAAUGCUUUAAGAUUAUGUGCCCUGCUUGAGUUGAUAUUUAUAUUUAUCCAUGUUAGAAUCUUAAUUGCCAGAAUCAUGAGUGGAUGUGGGAAAGAAGAUUUGUGUAGAACUGUUUUGAGUGAGGAAGUUGGUGUGUGUUCGAGAUUUCUUGAAGAUUUUGAAGUGGGUUUGGCACACUAGGUAAAUGAUAAGAAUAACAUUUUGAGUAACAUGUAGGUAGGGUUGUCAAAUGAAUGACACGUUCAUGAGUAGCUUAUUAUUUAGCUCAUUAUUGGCUCACUUGAUAAUAAGCAAGCAGAAUGGGAGUUGACAUUUAAGCUCAAAAAAUAAAUGAGUUGAACUUGAGUUGGGCCAAGCUGCUUAUGUUCAGCUUGAUAUAGCUUUGAAAUAAAAAUAAAUAAAUAAUAUCUGAUAACCAUUAUUAAAUAUUAUUAGAUAUAACUUAUCAUUCAACAAUAAUAAUUUUAUCUGAGGAAAGGUAUACUUAAGCCGUUAAUCUAGUGGAUGAAACCUAUAUUUUUGGGACCUAUUAAGGAAUUCCCCUAGGAGGGUUAGCCUUGAUUAAAUUGUAAGUUGCUCCAUUAUGUCCUGGGCAUCAUGGGUUGGAAACAUGGAACAUUCUCUUCACAAAUCGAGGUAAGGCUGCAUACAUAUGACCUUCCCUAGAUUCUGUAGUGGUAGGAGCCUCGUGCACUGGGCUAUGCCUUUUUUUCUUAAUUAUGGAAUGCCCCUAAGAAGAGUUCCCCUAUUAUAUUAAAUGAUAUGUCGGUGAUUGGUUACAAUGGGAUUGAGAAAUCUAAGUUUUGUAUUUACAACUAAUAUUUCAUGAUAUAAAUUAGCAACAACUAAAUUUCCUAAUAUUACCAACUUUAAAUCUAUCAUUUAUAUUUCACUAAAUUAAAUUGUAACUCUAAAUAAGGUGGUAAAAAAGGAAUAAGUGCAAUAUACAGGUAGGUUAGUGAUUGAGAUGGAGAGAUUUUUAAGGAAAUUACUGAGUAAAUUUAGAAAGAUAAUGGGUGAGUGAUAUAUUAUUGUUUAACUAAAUGUUAGUAAACAAUAAUAAUUCAACAUCAUUAGUGGUAAGUAGGGAUUUGUUAACAUUUUUAUUUUUAUUUGUUAACAUUUUCACCUGUCAUUAUUUUCUAAAUAAAGGGGAGCACGAACUGUUCUGGUUGUACUUGUUUUCCAAUUGACCUUUCCCGAGAUUUCUUUUUCCUUGUUGGAUUUGUCUAUUUUCUUCUAAUACUUCUGCUAAAUAACAGCCUAAUUUUUCCGAAACAUGUUUUAGUAUUAUAUUGGUUUCUUCUUCUUUAUGUGUGUGUGUGUGUGUGUGUGUGUGUGUGUGUGUGUGUGUGUGUGUGAUUUUGGGCAUUGACUAAAAGUCAUUUGGGUUUUGAAUGGCGAGUUAUGCUUUCAAUUGUUCCUAUCAUUUUGUCUUUUGUGUUGGUCAUGUGCUACUGCUCCUUUUCAUGACUUAGCUUUUAGCUUUUCUCAAUCAUUUAUGUCCUUCUUCAUUCACUCGUUUUAUUCUCCCCUUUUCUCUUAGAUGUUUCAUUUUUGCUUUAUUGUUACUUUCUCACCGCAAAUUCGUUCCCCUACUACACUCUAUGCCUGCUUUUGGCUUCACUACCACUAAGUUUUCCAUGAUGCGAUGCUUUACAAUGUACUGUUAAUGUUUUAAUUGCUGCUAUGGCAAAUGGAUGGUGCAGCCCAUUAAUCUAUGUUAUCUGACAAGGCCAAAAAUGGCUUUCAAGGUUUCCAUUUUCAUCUUUUUCAUAUCUUUAUUCACUAGCAUCUAACAUUGGAUUAAUCUAUUGAUGACCAUGAUAGGGUUGUCUUUUCAUUUUUCACAUAAUUGACAUUCAAAUAGCUUGACAAAAUAGACUCAUCCCCUACAUUUCCCACUUCUAUGACUGGCUGGAUGAAGAUUGCAUCUAUCAAAUUCUAUGGAUUACAUAUCUGCUCAACCUAUAAAUGGUUCAUUAAGAAGUUAUGCUUUCUACAACCCUGUUUUUGUCGUCAUUUUUUUGUAUCUUCAUUUCAACAGUGCGACUGAAUUAGUGAAUUGAUGGAUCACAUCCUAUCUGAUAAUUUCAACAGCAUUGUCUCUUCAUCUUCAAAUAAUCAGCACUCAUGCACUUCAAGAAAUUGUGAUCUUGACUAUAUCCAAGAAACUUAACUCUGUAAAAGCCAGUUUAUUUUGUCAAUUCAGAUGAUGGAACCAUAACUUGUUCUAUUCUGCAAUCUGUAAUGGCAUCAUGUCUUCCUUUUCAUAAUCCUUAAAAUUCACUUCUUAUCUCUGGACAGCAGCAUCUUGAAAUUCAUUACUUCUCAUCUGAACAAUCAAAUCAUAAAUUGUUUCAGUUUUUUGACUUAUUAAAUUGCUUCUUCCAUGUAAUUGAUAUACUCUGUUGAAAGAUCUGGUUAAUCUUGGGUGCAGGCAUCAUCCUUUUAUUAUGGUUUGCUUCUUGGGAUGAAAAUUUGUUUGGUCACAGUGAAUUUAGAGUUUACCUGACUAAAAGGAGACCAUUAUCUGAUUCAGAUCUGACCGGAACCCAACCUAUUAGGAACAUCAGCAGGUCAGACCUAUACCUGACCCUACCAUAAGCCAGUUAGUUGCAGUCCACCUCAACCCAGAGUUGCCUGAGUUAAUCCCAUCCUUCUGUUUUAUUGUAUGUAUAACCAUGAUGUGGCUGCUGAGAUAGAGCAAGGAUGUUGAUGACGUAGGAUAAGAAAAAUUGGGAAGAGGUGGAGGAAGCAUUUGGCUAUUAAUCCUUUUAUUUCCUUUUUGUUUCACUUCUUAAGAAAUAUUCAUAUAGUUGAAUUCUUGGAUUUAUUUUGGUGAGUGGAAAUUGAAAAGCCUAAAUAGCUAUUAGGCAUAAAAGAAAAUUUUCUGAUUUUUCACCCUGUUGCGAGCUUUCCAAUUUUUUGUAUCCACUUACUGGCCAAGUAUUGCUGAUAUCCACUAAUUGAAUUCUUAUUUAGAGCCUGUUUGGAUAUUUCUACAGGAUUGGGCUGAAAAUUCUAUAGGAAUCUGGCCUGUUUGCCCAUUGAUCUUGUAUUUUCUAGGAGUCAGGCCAAACCUAGCCCAAAUUCUAACUUUUGGGCUAUGGAAAAAANNNNNNNNNNCUUCCUACAGGAUUUGGGUUGGGUGGUAUUUGGUUGGUACAAGGCCAUGAUUUAAAUAUAUAGCCCAAUUCACAAAUGCUACAGGAUAUUCAACCCAAUUCUGUAGGAAUAUCCAAACAAAUCCUUAGUAUUUGAGUUCUCUCCCUUGGGCUUUCAAAUAAGAUACGAAUAUUACUGAGACUGGCAUUCCUUCUGGCUAGACUAGAUGAAUCUUCUUCUUCUUAGCGUGCCAUCUCUAACUAGAUUGCCCAGUUCCGAGGUAACACUUGCCAAAAGUAGAAAUUGGUGUGACAUCUUUGAGACCACUGUAGCAUGGAGGUUAUAUUUGAAAUGCUUCAUAACAGAUUUAUUAAAGGCUGUCUGCAGCUUGAAUUCCUAAUUCAGGAACUUGGUUGUCUCACCAUGUUUGUUGUGUAUAAGAAUGGCUUCUAAAUGGUAGUAAAUUAUAUGCUGCCUUUUGUUCCAACUGUUUCUUGUAUUUUAUGUCUUUGCAUGAUCUGCUGGAAUUUUUUAAGAUGCUUCUGUAUCCUUUCUUACACAAAUAAUAUUUUGUGCAGUUGUUCAGUAUGAAGCGCGCUGAGGACAAAUGUGAAAGGAUGUCCUUGGUGGUGGAAGCUGUUGUCUACCGAAUGGCGUACUGCAGUGUCGGAGUUUUUUAAAAAACAAUACUCGUGGUCUUUGUGUUUAUAUGGAUAAUUAUGUCUGAGUGAACUUUGUUUCUGUAAUGGCUGACUGUUAUCAUAUGCUGUUUGCUUAGUAAUUUCGUUAUACAUCUUGACAGCAUUUCUUGGUCCCGUCAGAAAUUAGUAUUUUAUCAGUUGGUGGAGUUCCUGCAUAUAUAUAAAAUGUGUAAACCAUGAUAUUUAUGCUUUGAAUUGGAAUGCUCUGUGGGAAGAUCUCUAUGGCCAAGUAUAUCUUUAGAGGACGAAGUUGAACAUCUUUAUGUUAUAGCUUGGGGAAUGUAAUACGAAUGCAUUCUUGGUCCACGCAGGGAAAAAAUAAAUUGCGGCUCCAGAUCUUAACAGGAUUUAGUGAGACAAAGUAUUCAUAAGCAAUCCUCUUCUCAAAUUGGAAAGAAAAAAUUGCGACUCGAGAUCGGUUUAACACUUUGUUGGUUAACAUUGCAAGCUUGCUGAAUCUGUGUAAGAGGAGAACUUGCAGAUACUUUUGAAUUUGCUGGUUAACAUUGCAAGCUUACUCAGUAAAGGAGAUCUGGCAGGUAUUUUUGAAUAAUGCACAAAGCACAAUUUGCAAGGAGGUUAGUGAUACAGAGUUUUAUAUUCUUGUAAGUGGAGCUCAAGAUUAGUCUAGAAGAGAACAAAAUGGCUCUUAUCUUCAUUCAUAGAGAUGGUGUCCUACGCGAUUUUUAAAUCUCAUUCAUAUUUCAAACACUGCUUCAUUAACUUUGAAGAAGGAGAUGUUCUGUCCUUUCUUGUCAUAAUUUUAAUAUUGAAAACGUUAGAGGUCGGAGAUAUGAUGGCGCUAGUAGUAUGAGAGAUGAAUGGAAUGGUCUGCAAGCAUUAUUUUUGAUUGAAUUGCCCAUAUCAAUAUUAUAUACACUGGCACAACCACUUUCCAACUCGCAAGCUUAUCUAAAACUAAUCUAAACUAAAUCAAAGCAAAGCAGAAUUCCUGAAGGUGUUGGAUAGAACAGCUGAAGAGCUAUAUCAAUGUCCUCUAUCUCUUGCAAAUUCCAUAUGCACAUUUUAGGUGUGCUCUCUAUCGUGGCAAAAUAUUAAAACAUUGGCAUACAAGGAGAAACGAGGAACCCUAUCUAUCUUAAUUCAUCCACUGGGGUUUCAAAUGGAUUGUAUGCCGGCAUGAUGAAAGUUGGACACUGGGUAGUUGUUGGAGGUUGACAUGGAAAGAGAGCAUUAAAAUAGCGAGCAGCCUCAGCGGGCGACAAAGACCAAGAUAGGCCGAAAUCUUAAUUUAUCUCAACUGAUGGAAGGUUGAAAAUUUUAGAAUUUUCUGAAGAUUUGAUUGAUAUUCUAGUGCCAAGCUAAGAAUUUGGUUAAUAUGGUCAAUCCGAUACUAACUAUUAUAUUUAGGCAUUGAUAUUGAAAAUUGUUGAUUGACAAAGCUAUCUAAAGAAGUAAAAAAAAAAAGGUGAGAUAGAAAAGAUGAGUUUGUAAAAUAAAAGAAAAUAAAAAGUUAUUGUUUUCUCCAUCUUUGGCUGCUGCUUCGAUGGCUAAAAUGGAUUGACCAACCCAACCCCUUAAAUAUCCUGCAAUUAGUGCAGAGAGACUCUCAUCAGAUAGAACCUGGGCUAGACUUUGGUUGGGCAAUUGUAAGUAGAUUUUCUUAUCAGCUGAUAUAUCGAGACUUAUCAAUUUAUCAUUUGCCACCAUCCAAGAUUGAAUGAGAACAUCCUUCUACAGGGAGCUGUGCGCCAACCAAGCUAACUUACAGUUGUUGGCAGCAUUCCUCUAACCACUAAGUCUUCUCCUAACCACUAAGUCUACCCAAACCAAUGCCCGCCUCGAAUCGGUUGAGUCCUCCCUACAGAGACUCAUUGAAUCCAAGGAAGAUAACGUCACCCACUCUCGAGGUCUAGACUUCGAUGAAAUCCUAGGACUGCACGGCUCAGUUCGACAGGAUAAUUUUGACCAUAUACCUUUACAAGGUCGUCAAUAUGCCUACCCUUUCCCUAGAGGAGCGGACACCUUCCCUAAUGUUGACCGAGGUCAUCGCUAUAAUGUGGAACCGAGACAGCCUCGUGACCAUGAUGACGAUGUGAUGAACGGCAUUCGGGUUGAGGCCCCCACCUUUGAUGGUCGCCUUGACCCAAAGGUCUUCUCAGACUAGUUGCACGAAAUGGACCACUUCUUUGAGUGGUAUAAUUUAUCUGAAGACAAAAAGGUCCGGUUUGCUCGAAUGAAACUCAUUGUUCGAGCCAAGCUAUUUUGGCAAAAUACUAAACAACUUUUGGCUAGGAGACGUCAACCUGCCAUAACUGAAUGGGUUGAAAUGAAGGAAAAACUUAAAGAAAAAUACUUGCCCUUUGGCUAUAAAAAUGAUAUGCUUGAUCGAUGGAACAAUUUGAGACAAGGUACCCAAUCGGCCAUGUUUGAGAGGCGCCCGAACAUUCAGGGCACUUCCACGACUCUUAAUUUUUCAGGGUCCAAGCCUUCUGUAGGGUCCACUACUCCUAGGCUCCCUCCUGCUGUUCCUAUACUUUAGUGUUACAAAUGCCAAUGUUUUGGUUACGUUGCCUCCCAAUAUGCUAACAAAUUUUUCGUUAUUGUUCAGCAAGAGUAGGGAGGUGACACAGAUGAUUUAGAGGAGCAAAUCUAUGAACCAAACCUCGAUGACAUUCAGGACAUUGAAGAAGAGUGUAAUGACAGAUCUGAUACCCUAGGAAGCACCAGCACAGUACUCAUAUCAUUUGCAUGCAAUAAUAUAGUCAACAAGCCCGUAGGCAUGAGUCCAUUUGAGAUAGCACAUGGUUACAUAAGUAAAAAACUUUUAGAUCUCUUGCCCAUGUCACAUUUUAGGAUUUCCGAGUCUGCACAUGUACUAACAUAGCACAUUCAUGCAUGUACUGCUCAAUCUAUGGUGAAAGCUGAUUCCAACAAGCAUACCAAAGAAUUUUAAACUUAGGAUUAUGUAAUGAUCCAUCUUAAAGAAUUGCAGUCUUUUAGUGUUGGACCAUUCAGGGUGUUGCACAAAAAUGGCACUGACGCCUAUGCCAUUGAUUUUUUAUUUGAUUUUGGUCAUAGCCUUACUUUUAAUAUUAAAGAUUUAGUUGCAUUUUCUGAUGGCUCUUUUGCUAAACCCUCUCCUGAGCUAAUUGCUUAUCCUAUUACUGAUUCCGUGUCAUUUUCGUCUCAAUUUCUCCUCCAUCGAGCACAAAAAGAGUAUAUUGAUUCUAUUUUAGUCGAGCAAAUAGUUUUUGAUAGUAAUGGAGGCAUCCAGCAUUUUCUGGUUCGUUGGCGUGGUCUACCAAAGUCCGGUUACACUUGGAUCCCACGCGAGGAGCUACAUCAGAUUGAUCCGAACUUGUUAGAGUACUACCGAAGCUUUACCGAGCCACUUUAGUCGAGGUCAACUUCUUUCCACUCGGAGAGAGUGCGGACACCAGUGCCAGAUCAGCCGAUCGCCACAGAAUCUAGCUAGCUCAGCGGGUCCUAGUCGAUUCAGCCAGCCUAAUUUUAUUUUCGAUUGAUUUAUUUUAGAUGGAUAUAUUUUAUAUUGAUUGGAUUUAUUUGCAUAUUGUCAUUUUAGAGCCUUUUUGGGAUUGUUUUAUUUGUAGGGGUUUAUUUGUUAUUUUGUGACCCUAUAUAUAUGGAUCCAUGCUCAUGUUUAGGAUGAUAAAUGAUGAAUGAAAAUUAGCCUCCCUAUCUUCUUCUUCCUCCUCCUCCCUUCUCUUCUUCUUCCUCCUCCUUCCUCUUCUCUUCUUCCUCUCCUCUCCUUCUCUCUUUCUCCCUCUUUUCUCCUCUGUCCUGCAUCACUUCCACAACAAAAACCAAGAAGAAAAAAAAGAAGAUGUUUUUGUGUUCACUUUCUCAGCAACAAAACAAGAGCCUUAAAGUUUUGCCUGACUUCGCUUCUAGCGUACUGGACCAUGUGCUGGUUCAAAACUAGGUUCAUUGAGAAGUGGACAAUAACAGAAUACAAACAAAUUAUCUUAUACUUUUCUCUUUAAUCACAAACUACAGAAAUUACCACAACUGACCUAUUUAUCCUCUCAUGGAAGAAAGUGCAAAAUGUUUGUUGGAACUUCUGUGCAACAUAAAGGUAAUUCGAGUAACCCACAAUUCCCGAGCAAGCACUUUUUAUAUACUCUGGAUCCAUGCCAUAUUGGCCUGCUGCUUUCAGACACUGUUUUAUGGGCUCCUGUCAUAAGCGAUAGGGUAAUUAAGGCUAUAUUUUUGGCAUUCAGCCAUCCAAACACUUGCGAUCCUCAACUAUUUUUGGGCUGAACAUGUGUAGAUUUUCUCUUCCCACAGAAGGUGAUACAAUAGCAUGAGAGCUAAGAAAUGGUAUAGCUGUAUGCUAGAAUGAGUUAAAUAAUUCUUGUGCUGUUCAACCUUGUCCACCAUUUCCUCUUUGCCUUAUCUGAAUUGGCAUCAUCAGUUCUGAGCUUGUUUAUAAUCACCUUGCUCUCUCUUAGCCGCAAACUAAAAUCCUUCUUCCAUGAUUCAAAAUUCUGCUUUAGCCUCCUCAGUUCCUUUUCUGGAUUUAGACUUGCCUCUGCAUGCCCCGACUUCACCUCCACCAAGAAGUUCACAUCAUCUGCAAAAACCUGACUCUGCUGCUCAAAUUCCUCGGCUAAGCAGCUGAUAACAUUAAGGCCUGCACUCAUAUCUCUGUGCAGGACCCGGGACCCCACUCGCUUACCACUUUCCUCCCCCCAUUUUGUUCCAAUAUGGUUUCCAUUACUGUCCCAGCUUUGGUCCACGGAUGCAUCAGAUCUUCGCUCUGCAUCAUCAGUGGCAAGGCUUUUCUUUGCAACUGAGAGGCUGGACUGUAAGGAUCUCAUCUGUUUCUGCCACACUUCCUCCAUGGAUCUCAUCUUCUGCUCAUACUCUGACCAUCGGUUCUCGUACUGCUGGAGCCGCUGAUGGAGUAUGUCAUUCUCCUCUUCCUUCUCUCUUAGCGCAGCCUCAGCCUUUAGGAUUCUUCUUUGCAGCUCUGCAAGGAAGGAUGCCUUCACCUGCACUUCAUCAGAUUCCUGCAACAGGGAUUAAGUCAAUCGAACCAAGUGCGGAAGCAACAGAAGAAUAUGAGUUGCUUGUGCUACUACUAAAAUGAUUUAAACAAGGUGUCAAUGACAGAAAGGCUUGCUAAACCCAUCAGAGACAGGCCAAGUCUUAUGUUUUCUCGUCUUCCUGAAAAUUGUUCAUGAAAUUACAAGCUUCAUGGUUAACUCGACAAAACAAGGCAGGUACAUAAAAAAAAAUGUAAAUGGGAAGACAAUAGAAUGACAGAAUAAUAAAGGGUUGCAAUAAACAUCACAAAUCCACGGAUAGUGACAUAGCAGAGGUAGGCAUCCGUUUUGGAGAAUGCACGUGCAAAUACAUGAGUUAAAUUCAUAAACGACCAAGGUUUGAAAACUUGUCCUGGUUUUUGGUUUCACCUGGAUUUUGUUGAGGUUCAAUUUCUACAGCUUCAAGCUUUUGCAGCUUCAGAAGUUUUGCUCAAGGUUUUGAAGUUUUGAUCAGAAAAACCAACAAAAAUUCAAAAAAAUAAAAAAAAGAUUAUGACAAUAAAAGAAACCAAGAAACACAAUUACCCAACAUUUUAGAGCAUGUUGUAUUAUAUAGGUUCUUCAUCUCCAUAGUAAAUUUUAGGCUGAUAUAUCUAUUAGUAAGUGCACUACACACACACACACACACACACACACAUAUAUAUAUAAUAUACUUGUUUUUUGGACUGUAGUUGUUGGAAAAUACAUUUUAUUACAUUCUUAGUAAAACUCACACAUAUAUUGAAUUUAGAUUAUUUUUAGUAUUUUUAUAGUUAAGUGGUUAUUUAAUCAAAUGCAUGUAGCUACAAAUGUUAUAUUUAUUUUCUUUAAAACAAAUAAUUUUGCAAAACAUCUUGCAUCUCAUCGUUCACAUUAGUAUUUAUUAAGUACUAAGGGUUUUUUUUUAACAUUAUCUAGAAAGGUUUAAAGUUAUUAUCAAACUCCUCUUGUAACUCAAGAGAAAGAGAGAAAAAUAUCUAAAAGUUCGAUACCACAUAGCCUAUGCACUUAAAGUAAGGAAAGUAAUGUACCCAAAUAUAAUUAUAAACAACAAAAAUGGCAUGAAAUUAGCCAGUUUAAUUGAAACUGACAAUAACAGUAAACUGGAUGGUCAGUUUUGGCUAGGUAUCACCGUAUCAGCCAAAAUGGAUCAGUUUCAGCCAAAACAAUAACCUUCUAUAUGAUUAAUUUGUUGGGUUGCAUUAGGCCUAAUCUUAGUCAUUUUGGGCUCCAAGAUAGCAAAUUAUUUCCAGAUGAACUAGUCUGGUUUAUUAUAUUGGUUUAGGAUGGGUUUCAAUUAACUUGAACAUGACAUAACAUGUAGGUUUUGUCUUAAUUAAAGAAAUCAAAACAAGUGGAACUCAAAAUGUGUGUUGUGUGACUGCCAAGACAAAACUACUGAUCUCCUAUUUUUGACUUGCUUCUUCUUUAAAGAGUUCUGGUCUGAAAUAACGAAUAAGUUUCAGGCUAGAAAUGAUUCUCUUGUGGACAAUAUGGGAUGCACUACUUGAAUGGACUCACUUCAUAAUAAGACAGAAUUGUCUGGUACAUCAUCACAGCUGCUAUAGACUGGAGCAUAUGGCCAAAGAGAAUAAAGGGACUUUAGAGAAAAGAAGACCAAUGAGGAAGGAGUGUGGCAUGGAGCGUAGGAUCUAGUUUCUAAUUGGGUCUAUAUGUUGAAGGAAGAUGACAAGCUCAAGACCUUGAGACCUUCUCGAAACAAGGCCAUGCUUCUCUCGUCUAACUAAUAUCCCCCUACCCACUUCUUAUAGUCUCUGUAUCUAUAUUUCCUCCAUGUUUCUGAACUUUUCUCCCCUACCUGAGGAUGUUUAUGUCAGUUUCAUUUUUUCAAUGAAUUUGAUGGGAGAACAUCUUUCCUUUUCAAAAAAUAAAAUAAAUAAUAAUAAUAAUAAUAAUAAUAAUAAAUAAAAAAUAGACAAAUUUCAAGAAAAAAUUGUCCCAAAUUUCUUUCAUGGUUCAAACCUAGGACCCUCUCCUCAGCACACCAGGGAAAGGGUUUCCACCUAUCGACCCAAGUCCCGUAGGUGGAUUUCUCACAAAGCUUGCAUUGGAACCUCUACUCUUAAAUCCUUUCAUCAACAACCGCAACAUGCACUCCUCGGUUACAGUACCAAAGGGCUAUAAAUUUUAUAAUCUACUUAUAGGCUAUCGAUUCUGCACUCUACAAAAGGGCUACAAGCACUAUGAUGUCAUAAUAUAUAAUGCGAGUUCAUUUAUUGUGAACUGUAAUGGCCAACCACAAUGGGCUGUAGUUUGAAGGGCAAUUAAUGUUUUAAAAGGGUAAAGCCAUAUAUGCAUGAAUAAAGAUAUGGUUGAGCGGGCAAGCAAGCAAGCUUGCAAACACAAUAUUUUAAAACAAACAGCCAAAUAUAGCUGGAUGUUUGCAUCUGAAAACAUGAGGCUCACUCAUCUUUACAAAGACACCAUAUUGAUACACAACAUCGUUCUAAUAUAGGACUGUCACAGUCAGUGCUUAGGUAGUCUGCCACUCUGCCUAGAACCUAGGGAGGCCUUACCAUCAAGGUGCAAGAUAAUUAAGCAAUGCGCUAGUCAAUGCUAAACAAAGAAUCCAUUCACCAAUUCAUCAGUAGCCCUCUGCAAGUCCACUACCCACAAAAAGGACAAGCUCGCUUGCAGUUCAUCCAAAUAUUGACAACCCUCCAGAAUCUUUCUGCAACAAUUUGGCGGCCCAAACAGGUACAUUCUUUCACCUUUUCUUCUAUCUUCCUCUCUCCUAAUCUUAUUUCUCUUCUUUCCCUUUUCUUUUCUUCCUUUCUCGCUCUCUUCUUGUUGUAUUAUUCUUUUUCUUCCCCUUUGUACUCUGUUCUUUUUCAAUUCUUCCUAUACUCUCUGCCAACGAGCGAAGGCUUUGUCUACAAUGUUUUGCCCACCAGCAAAGCCCUGAUCUCUCUAUGCUACUUUGCCCAUGGAUAAAGCCUUAUUCUUUCAUACUUUGCCGCCCAUCGAAGGCUUAACACAUUCUGUUAAUACUUUACGAUUCAGCGAAGUCCCUACGUUCUGCUCAUACAAACAUUGACAAGUACUCUUCUUGGAAGUUCAUCAUCCCAAUAAAGCCACUAUCUUGUGGGGAUAAUCCCGUGAUGCAUAGGUUUCGCAGUGAAGCCUUUCCAUGAGACUAAUUUGAUCCCUAUAAAGUGAACAUAAGUUGAUUACGUGAAUAAUAAUGUGAAGUAAAAUAGCAUGAAUUCACAACAGUGGUCAAUUUUCAUGAUUAUAUCAUCUGAUCUGUUCACCUGAUUGACUUUCUGUCAGAAGAGCAUGAAAACAUUGAAAACAUCUUAGCACUCCAAAUAAGUCAAUCUCAUGUCCAAACUGUCGCUGCACCUUGUAGAUUCUAGGCCUAUGAAUCUGGAUUUUGGACCAAUUUUUCAAUAGCCGAAUUUUCUUUAGUUUAAGCAUAGGUCGUCUGGUGAAAUUACCAAUUUGCCCUUUCUUCUAAAAAAUAGAUAAUUUACAUAUAUUUAAUAAUAUUGAGUCAAAAUAUAACUCAAAAAAGGGAUCCCGGUGUAUAAAUCUCCUACCACGACAAGGUUUCAAGAGGGUCAAAUAUAUGCAGCCUUUUCCACAUGUGUAGAGAGACUAUUUUUCGUGUUUUGAACCUGUGACACCUAGGUCACAAUAAAACAACUCUUACCAUUGCACUAAGGCCCACCCUCUCAAAAUAUAACUGAAACAUCACUAUAAAUAUAAAUCAUAAAUCAUUGCCAAAGGCAUUCUCUCCCUUUUGUUAUCAUUAUACCCGAAAGAAUAAACUAUGCUCAAGAGUAUUUUUGCCAUUUUUUAUUAUAAUAUGCACAUCUUGCAUGUUUGUAUUUCUUUUAAAUUACUUAUAAAUUAUUGGACAGGUAAUUGAUUUUCAACUAGCUUAAUCCAUUGUAACAAGAUGUACAUAUUACGAUAUGUAUAUCAUGAUUUUCACAAGGCUAGAUCUUUUUCAGUUUAAGCUUUUGUGUGAACUCAUUGUCCCAACAUUAGCAUUGAAACCUCUUUAUUAGUAAUAGUGCGUGUUUUAAAAGCUCUAAGUUUCCCAGAAUGUUCCAAACAUCCUCAUAUUUAUUUAAACAGCUGCAUGGCUUAGUUUCUUCUUGGGUGGGGACAUCUUGAUCAUGAGAUCCUGCUACAUUAAACAUGGGUGGAGGUUGAGCCUUUAAUCCUAUCGAUAUUAGUACUUCUCAAGAUUUGUCGUAUCGGUCGGUACUGUAUCUGUAUGGAACCACUACGUAGUCUUGAACCGCACUGACACUCGGUACGCCUUACCGUCUCAUACUGUACCGCGUACCAAUAGGAUGGUACCGAUAUUAAGAUGGCGAACCUUGGUUUAUGCUUUGGGGUUAUAAUGGUAAAAAAAAGAUUGGUUAAAUAUAGUUGCAAGUGAAGGUAUCUGACCCUAAUGAUUUUCAGGAUUCUCUAAGAAGGUUUGGUUAAAUAUAGUUGCAAGUGAAAGUAUUAUAGCAACCCAAUCCCCGCAUAUUGUAAAGUUAAUCAGAUGCCAACUCACCUCCAAUCCCUUAUUUUGUGAAUCUACACACAAGCUUGAAUUGAAAAUGAUUCAGCCUAGUGAAGAUAAAAGGUAGAGAUAAGUAAUAUAUAAGAUGAGUGUGGGGACCAUAUCUCCUCCGUUUCCAAGACUCCUAGUUAAUUGUGCUCAUUUAUAUAAGCAAUCUCCAAUUGAGCUGGUUGAAAAUCAAUAAGCCAUCCAAGAUUGUAUAAAUAACAUUUAAGAGAUGCAAACAUGCAAGAUGCAGAUAUUAUGAUACAACAUGAAAAAAUAUUCUUGAUUAUACAUUAUGUUUCGAUAUAAUGAUAACAAAUGGAAGAGAACGCCUUGCUAAUUAUUUAUUAUUUAUAAUAAUAUUUGAGUUACAUUUUGACUCAAUAUUAAUAAAUAUAUGUCAAUUUUCAAUUUUUUAGAACAAAAGGCAAAUUGCUAGUUUAACCAAAUGACCUUGGAUCAUGCGUUGAAGGGGCAAUCGGAGAUUUCAUAGUGUCAAUUGAUUAUAAUUAUCCAUUUUUGAUUUAAGUUAUGAAGGUUAGAUUAAUAUUUAAACCACACACAAGUUUAGGUUGCAUUUCCAAUUUGAUUUGUGUCGGAUUAGGACUUAACAUGAGAUCUGGCCAUAUUUAUGAAACUGGAUACAAGCUUGAAUAUUAAUCAAUUAUAUCCAAGGUUCAUCUUUGAAGCUUCAAAGUUCAUUGAUUUUGACUAAUUUGAAGGAAGUAUUAUUGAAGGUCAAUUAGACCAUUGGAUGAAGUUUGGUUCAUUAUGAGUCAAAUUGGGCUCAAAUUGAGAACCAUCAUGAAACCAGCUGUAAGCCAACUAAGAUUAGGUUCAUGACCAUAGGGUCAAACCAAUCCAAGAUGGCAGAACUUCUAUAGCAGUAGCAUAAGAUUAGGUUCAUGAUCAUACAGUCAAAAUAAUCUGAGAUGGCAGAACUUUUAUUGCCGUAGCACAUGCAUUGCUGUACUCACCUGAUAUUUGAACCAGUGAUCAUCAAGUUAGGCGGUCUCCCUUAGGCUGAACUUAGCUCAAGUACUUCUAAGUAUCUGGUUCAGGUUCAGACCCAGACUCACAUAGAAACAGUGCAACUAAGUCACAUCUGACUCUGAUUUAUAUAAAAUAUUACCCCUACAUCAGAUGUGCAUAAGCCUAUGACAAUAAAAACCAAUUAAGUCCAAUUUAUGCAAUGUUACUGCAAGAUCCACCAUUGGAUUGCCUCAAAAUCUGAACAUUAAGGAGUCUUCUUUAAUAAGAUUAAACAGAAUUUUGAUCAGAUGAGCGAAACUGGUUUGAUGAAUCGUUGAAAUAUUGGGUGUUUACCAGCUUAAAAUCUAAAAUAGCAAGUCUGAAAUCCAAAGACACAGAUGAAUUAGAUCAGGAUUAAUUUAAUCAGUUUAAACAGAUUUUCGAUCAGAUAAGUUAGAUGAAUUCUACAAACUGAUGAAAAUUCGGGUAUUGAGAAACUGGUCCAAAUUCCAGAUUCAUAGGGUCUAGAUUUUAAAAGGUGCAGCAACUAUUCAUAUAUUGGAUUCAGGUGAAAUUUGGACUGCCAAGACGUUUUCAUGACCUUUUGAAGAAAGUCAAUCAGGUGAACAGAUUAGGCGCUAUAAUCAUCAGAAUAGACCACUGUCAUGAAUUCCUGCAAUUUUGCUUCAGAUCAUUAUUCAUGUAAUGCUCUAUAAAGAUCAAAUUAGUCUUCUCGCAAGGCUUCAUUGGGAAACUUCUGCAUCAUGAGAUUGUCCCCUAGGUUAACUAUUCAAUAUCCAAAUGCAGCCUCAGAGUUUUCAUUCACUAAACCAUCCAGAGAAAAAGUUUAAAGCUUGUGAAGUUUUAUCCCACUGCCUCCUUGAGUUUCAUUCAACAACUCAUUCAUUUCCAAUCUCUAUCUCAAGUAACAGAUAUACUAGUGCUUCUUUAGCGAUGUGAGUAGUGCUGCUCCUUGCUAAUCCACUAAGUAGCUCAAUGUACAUAUUGGAUAAUCCAGGAUAUUCCAGUCUGUUAGUUGUUUGUGCGCUUUAUACUUUUGAGAAUUCAUGUGAGGUUCAUGGAAUAAUUGGAAGAACUCUAAUUAUCGCAGAAGUUGGAUGACCUACUUCCUAAAUAUGCAAUUGGACUAGUUAUUUCCAAAAUAAUGGAGCUAAGCAGUGAUAUUGAAGGCUUAACUUGUCCCUUGCCUGUAGACUUAUCAAAACAUCUUUUUAUGGUGCAUAUGUUCCAAUAAUAUGCAAUCAGGUUCAGCAUCACAAUAAUAUUUUCUUCUUAUUUUGUUCUUUUCUAUUUUUCUUGUUCAUCUUCUAUGCCGCUAAUUCCUUUUCUUUAAUGGGUAAUCCUAUUGCAAUAGUUGUCUAUUUUCAGGUCUUCCCAUAAAAGAUAAUGAUGAAUCAAUGAUAAUGAUGAUCAUUCGCGGCUGCUGAACUAUCUAUUUACCAGGAACAAGAUAUAGCCUUUAGCCAUUAAACAAUAGUCGUCAAACUAAUUAAAUCUUACCUGAUUAGUUUCGAUAUACUCCUAAGACACUGUUGCUUAUUGUUCAAACUUCAAACCAAGGUUGGAGGAAUCGGUAUCGGGCACCGUACUGGUUCUCCGGCGGCACGAGUCCGUACGGGCCAUGCCAGGCCUGUACUGACGAGGGUACGGUACUGUGGGAGAGAGAAAAAAGAGAGAGAGAGAAGGAGGAGAGAGGGAGGGAGACUUGUAGAGGGUGGCGGACGCCGGCAGAGGCCCCGGGGGGCCGGCGGAGGCCGCAGAGGGCGAGGCCGUAGCCGGUUUCCCUGUUUUGUUCAAAAUAGGAGCCCGACCGUGGCUUACAAAAUUAAAGAAUUUUACGAAACAGGGUCCGGCUGUGGCCUUGUCCCCCGCCGGCCUCUGCUGGCGUCCCGACCUCUCCCUCUCUCUCUCUCCCCUGCUCACUCUCUUUCCUUCUCCUCCUCCAGCUCUGGCAACGGAUCUCAUUUCCGUUGCCAGAACCGUACCAGUGAGCUAUUGGUACAGCUUAGAAUGGCCGAAACCCUCUGGUUCGGAACGAUUCCGCCGACCUUGCUUCAAACAUAUUGUGUUGAAUCUCUAUGAUAUGCCUAUGUCAACAGUAAUUAAUUACAAUUUUCAGUCUUUUAUUCUAUAGCUAAAAAAUGUUGACUUUGAUUUCCAAUAACAAUAUGAGAAGACAGCCGAAUUCCAAAAAUCUGGGAUAGAAUUAAGGGCAUCAUUCAUAUCAAAUAAUAUUCACAAGUAUGGUUUUUAUGAGAAAAUCACAAAUGCAGCAAUGCAUCAUGACAAACAACUUGCUCAUAAUGGAGGCAAUGUUACUGUUUAUCAAAACAAAAGGUCACAACAAGUGUCGGACAGGAAUUUAUGGAAUAUACGAAUAAGUCUUGUAAGUCAAGCCACAAGGAUCGCUCAAUUGAUAGAAGUGGAAGGCUACUAAUGGUGGGAAAAGAAAAAAGAGGAAAUUGAGAUUAGAGUUAUAGGAAGCAAGAAUACAAGCAUUGAGAUUUUCCACAAACAAAAGAACUGCUAAACAACCAAAUGAAGGUAUCAAAUAUGGUUCUCAAUAGUUAAGUUGAUCAACCAUACCUAUAUUUGAUCCAUGAUGGAAGAAGUUAGCUAAUGUCUGCAGUUUAAUAUACAAUGAAAGAGAAAAAAAAGGUGCCAGAAUUCUUAUUGUAGUGAUCCACAGAAUACUGCAAGUUUAUAUACAUGUGGAGAAUCUGAAAUUAGAUACACUAGAAGAAUUAGUAUACAAUCAAUCAAACGGAUGCAUAUUACCUUUGUGCCUUCAAGUUUCUUGGCAGUGUUCAGUAAACCAGCAUCUCCAGAACACCUUCUAACAAGCCAUCCACGAAUAACUGUUUGGUAGAAUUGAUGCAUUGGUAAGCCAAAUAUUAUGCUCUAAAUAGACCAAGUCCAAAAAAGCAUCUAAAGUAGAAUGUGGAGGUUCUAACCAGACUGUAUUACAACUGUAGCAUUACGAACAUCUAUAAAACUUUUUCUAGAAGAUUGAGAUUUUAUAUAUCUCUGUAAAACAAUUGCAGCUCUGUGUCUCUGUAACAAACCGGAGUAAAUCUGUCUAGUCUUCUCACCUCGAAUGACUGAAAAAAUAUAGCAACAAUUUAAAACUUUCAUAAUUUCUUAGUGACAUCAAUAGACAAAAACACCUAAUUAUAUAUGUACAACCAGAUCGCGAAACAAUCUCUCCAAUAUGGAACAAAUCAAAUAAUUAAAAAGAGAUGAGAAAAUACAAGAUUGCAAUGUAACAAUUGCUUUUCUGCGCUCCUUCACAUGAUGACGAGCUUUAUGUCCUCGGAAACAGCUUUGAACCCUUAAAAUACCAUGAAGGGUACGAUUUCUUGUAUCUUCAAGUGCACCAAUCUAUAAAUUGUAAAAUUUCAAUAAGAAGAACAAGAGAGUUGAUAUAGUUGUGCUAUAAUAGGAAAUAAAAAGGAGAAAAAGAAAAGGCAUCAAUGAAUUUGUGACAAUUUGUCAUGGCACUUGCAUGUUCUCCUCGUCAAGCUGAUAUUAUAUCUCAACCGAACAGUGGCUAUUGAGCAAGAUGAGUAAGAUAUGGAACAUAAACAAUCAUAGAAGAAAAGGGAAGAUAAAAAGAGACACCUCAAAAUAAUUUGAUAUUACAGGACUACAUGAACAGUUUGGAGAACUCAAAAAAAAAAUGAGCGAUCACACUUGAAUGAGCACUCGAGCAACUAUUUGCACAUUCUACAAUCUAGAGUAUUUAUCUCACCUGUCCAGUACGGAAGAACAAUUUUGUGUAGCCAACUUGAUACAUCUCUGGGAGAAUAUUGAACUGUUGAAGAAUUGCCACAGAAACGCUAAGCGGAUCUUGAGAUGCAAUAUUCUCAAGAAGAAGAAAUCCGUACCUGAUAACAGUAAGAAAGAAAAAAGAUACUUGUACCUUGGGAAAUUAAUAAAAGAUAUACAGGCUUUCUCAACUGCAGAAUCAGUAUAUGGAUUAUUACCUUCUAGCAAAUUUUUGGUGAGACAUUCUGGUAGGAUAGCCAGAUCUUGAUAUGCGAACAACUUCCAGAACUCCACAACAUCUUAGUUGCUGGAGUACAAGCCCUUGUUCAUAAAUUGCAGGCAGUUGCAAGUUAUUUGGCUUAAUGCAGCGUAUGAAAUGGGGUGUUGUGUUUUCAAGCCUUUGCAUCAGUUGAAAUAGUUGCCCCUAAACCAAAAAAGAGAAUAAGAGCAGGCUAGUUUACCAACUCCAUUCUGACAUAGUUAAGAGAGUUUUGGAUGGUAUAUUUUAUGACAUAACUUUGGUUUACAAGUUGUCAAUUAACGGAUCUAAAGUAAAUUUUCACCUCACUAUAUACAUUGGACUAGUAAUAAGGAAGUAAGCUUUACAUGAGCCAUAAAUGGUCCAGUAUAUAGCUUAAGGGAUAAAAAUUAAAUAUAAACGAACCCUUCUUUCCUAGGAAGAAAAAGGCUCCUAUGAUGAUAUUCCUUGAAGACAAUAGAAGAUGCAAAAUAAUAAUGAAUGAAAAAUGAAAGAACUUACAAAACAUGAAUUUCCAGAACUCCAUUUUAAAGACAAAGAAACUUCAAAAUACUUGAUAAUGAUGACCAUAAACAAUGUAAAGCCAACUGAUACCUAUGAUAUGUCUCUUAGAUAUUGACCUAAAUAAAAUAAGCUUUCCAAACGACCAAAAGUUUAGCUCCUUGAAAUCAACAUUGAGCCUUUCAAAGAAGUCAGGUAAAAUUAUAUGAGCUACUCUUUACUGCACUACAAAAAGGAAAAAACUAAUAAAUCAAAAGAAUUUCCAAUAACAAAAGGAAUGCAUGCUUCUAGGUAAGGUGAUUUUAAUUUGAUCAGGCCCAUCAGGGACUAUGCCACUUAACCUGACAUAUUGUUGAACCAAAACAGGACCAUUUGAAGAUACAAGGUACCCUAAAUUACUAAAUACUUCAAUCAAAAGAGGGAGAAGUGAGCCUAAACGAGUAAUCUACCAAUUGGUUCCUCUGCUCUGCAAAAGGUAUAACUUUCACAUAUUUAUUAGACCCACUGCAUUGAAUGAAUAAAGUAAUCAAAAGAAAACUUGACAAGAUGUCACAACAUUGUUCUUUUUCAAGCUAUGCAGAUAAAGUUGUUUUGAGCAACAAUUUAAGGUGCACGACGACCAAUGACUUGACCAGUAGAGUAUCUAUCACAAGAUUGAAUCAAAAUAUUCAAAAUAUAAAUACAAAGGACCAAGUAGGUUCGCCGUACCGGUACCGAACCCCGUACCGGUGCCGCACUAGCAUAAGCGUACCGAAUGUCGGUACGGUACGGUACGCGGUACGUCAGGCGUACCGACACUGGCGUACCGAUACCGAUAUCCGUCGGUACGGAUAUGGUACGCCCGGUACCGACCUGUACCGAUCGGUACAGCAUACCAUACUCCAACAAUUGCAAAUUACAUUAGAAUCUUUCCACAAAAAAUGCUAAUAAAGUGCUCCAAGUAGAAGACAGUUGCUAUCACAUGGUUUCUCUACAAGAUUUCAGCUGACCAUGGUUGCUAAAACCCUAGUGCCAUAAUUGGGUUCUUGAACUAAGUAUAGAUUUCAAUAGUUGCAAAAGGCAAUUGUCAAUGAGAUAGAAUUAAAAAAAUUGUUUAUUAGAAUGUUCAGAAACCUGAUAUGCAAACAUUAGAAAUCAUAAUCACAAUCAUCUAGACUUUUCCAACUACCGGGAUUGGCUUUAUAGAAUCACAUUCACCAAGAGUCUCUAUCAAGGCUGCUUAUGAUGUUAGACCAAGUUUCUCUAUAUCCUUCCUCCCAACCUCCACCCAUGUUAAAUUAGGCCAUCCUCUUCUUUUCUUACAACUGUCAACCAAACUAAAAGUACCUCUCCAUAUAAGAGCCUCCUUAGAUCUUUGUUGUAUAUAUCUAUACUAUUUUAAUUAAUUUCCCAUCAGUUUGUCCUUAAUUUGUGCAACUCCUAUAUAUCCUAUAAUAUAUUCAUUUCUCAAUCUACCCUUCCUAGUUGUAUCAUACAUCCAUCUUAAUAUAUACUUUUAUUCCCAGCACUCAAACAUACAACAUUGCAGGCCUUACUUUUGUCUAUAAAACUUCCAGUGAGUCUCCAAGGCAUUCACCUAUCAAAUAAUAUUCCAAAUGCGCCUCUUCACUUUAUCCAACCGUCGAUACUAUGGAAUGCCGUACCGGUCCGGUCCUAGACCGGUACCGGAACGAUAAAAAAACCGGUAUUUCCUGGUGUUUUAUCCGAACCGGCCGGUUCGGGCCGGUACCGGCCUCGUACCGGUGGGAACCGGCCAGUUCGCACCGGUACGAUUUUUUUUUUUUAGAACCACAGCGCCACGCGCUGUGGUUUUUGAAACCACCGCGUACCGGCCGGUACGUACCGGACCGGACCAGUACCGUACCGGUCCGGCCGGCCACCGGUACGGCGGACCUUGGUCUAUACACACACACACGCACACAUAUAUACGUGCUAUAUAUAUAUAUAUGUAUAUAUAUCUAUGUGUGUGUGUGUGUACAUGUGCGUGCGUGUAUAUGUGUGUGUGUAUACAACAAUCUUAAUUGAUAUUAUAUCUCAUUAAAUUUGCAUUCCAUAUAUUCUAUCUUUGUUCUACUAAUUUUUAAGCCCUUAUCCUUAAAAGUUUCCUCCAUAAUUCCAAUUUAGUAUUUAAUCAAGUAAGCAAAAAGGAAAAGUAAUAUAUCAAACUCAAAGAAACAGUCAAUCAUACUGAAACUCAUUUUGGCAUCAUUCAAGAAUAAACAAGCAAAGAAUGCAACACUUAUGAGUUAUGACUCCUCUAAUUUGCCAAACACUUUUAUUUUUUUGUUAUGACAGAAAAGACAACAAUAUCUUGUUUAAUAUCUACUACAGUGUGUAUCAAGAUUCGCAAUCUCGGUAUUGGACCCCGUACCAGUGUCACUAAUAAUGCACCGGUAUAGCACGAUAUGAGGUCUUUUCGGCAUACUAAGUGUUCGUACACCCGUAUAGAGUACCGGUACUGAACCAAUACGUAUGCCCUGUAACGGCCAGUUCAGGGUGGUACAGCGAACCAUGGUGUGUAUAUAUAGAAGUAAACCCCUUACCUUAAACUUUGUUGCAACACUUAGCCUUAGAGAAUCUGCGGCACUGGAUCUAUAUGGUUUGCUGGCAACAUUUGCAGAUUGAGCAAGCAUUUUGGAUGCAAAUAUUGGAGGAAGAUGGCUUUUGCAAGAAGCAAGAAGUUGAAUAGAAUCCACGUGCAAUAAAUCCCUAUUCUUCUCCAAAAACCCCGAUGUGUCAUAGGCCACCUGAUUACAUGUGUUAAGCAUCAAUAAUUUUGAAUUAAAAUUUAAAAAAAUAUUAUUUGGCACAUUUAGGAAGGAUAUCACAAGCAACCUCCCCUGCAUAAUGAUGAACAGUGAAAGCUUUGCCUCUUUCCCCCCUAAAGCAAGGAUUAGAGUUAAGAUGCUGCUUAAGCUUGUUUGCAAAAGUUAGGUCAGUGCCAUUUGGAAAAGUAGACUCCUCAUCCAGAAGAGACAGUAAUCCUAAUGGUUUCUGCAGUAAAGAGAAGACAGUCAGUAAAUAUAUAUUAAUAAUGAGUCAUGAUAAAUACUCUAGAAUAAUUAUAUAGUAGCAUUUUUCACAUUUCUACUAUCAUAAUAGCAGAAUUGUAAAAGAAACUGUAGUUUAGGUUAAAGUAAAAUAUGUAUGUUGUAUGGUACGCUCCAAUAGUUAAUGGAAAGAAAACUUUGACCAUACACACAUGGCUCGGACGAUACACUUCUUAAUUCUCCGGCAGUGGAGCUAUUUUUGGUUGUACAUGAGCAUCACAAUAGGUGCUUAUAUUAGAUUUUUUUUUAUAUAUACAUGUGCAACCUAUUCACAAUGAUAAGACCUUGUUUUGAUGCACAUCCAAUGCCAUAAAGCCAUGAAUUAUCAAGUAGCUGUCAAGUUCAAGUGGAACAAAGACAAGUACACAUACAUGUAUGAAAUGCAUAUGUAUGUGCAAUAUGUCCACCAGGUCUUUUCUGAAAAUUCAAUAAGAACCAGUAUCAGAUAAAGAGAAUAAGGUUGUCUACUGGUUCUAUGGAGUGAGUCAUGUCCUCAAAUACUUCCAUGAAUCCUGUAGCCUGUGCCAUGAUUAUAAAAAUAUGAUUUGACAAGGCUAUCUGUGUCAGCAUGCAAUCUUUUGAAUGGGCAUGAUCCACACAACACAAAUGAAGAAAGGUGACUCAAAAUAGAUCACAAUAGGCUUGUUUGAUAUGAUUGUGUAUGUAUACAAGUUACUGAAAUUACUGGGACAUGAAAGUCGACAUAUAUUGUUAUGCAAAACUUAGUCUGCAUCAAAGUCGAGCACAACCAUCACUGUUAAUAAAAGAUCAAUCAGACACAACAAGAUAAAGAUGUGGUAACACCAAGCAAAGACUGCUAUAUGAUUUCUCGAUGCCAAUACUCUAGAAUAGAUUUAGAUGUGGAAGAUUAAUCAUCCUCUUUUAAAUAUCAUUAUUUUAAUAAUUGGCAUUUGAAAUACAAAUUAUAGAAAAUUGAUCAUGAAAUGCAAUAUAGUAAACAAUAGAAAAAACUUACUUUCUCAAAAAGAUAAAGACAAUCCUGAUUGUCUUCAAAGUCAACCUUUGCCCAGUCGAUGCCAUCUUGGAUAUAUUCCUGAUAUAAGAAAUCAAAACUGAGUAUCAAGAAUUUUGGAUAUAAAGAAAAAUUGAAAAAAACAUUUGGUACAAUUAUGUUAGAAAUAGUAAAAUUAUAUAAUACAAACUUCAAUUUACAUCCAUGUACAUUGAAUUCUUAAACUGGUAAUAGAGAAACAUGAUGGAUUUUAUAGAAUUAAAGUAAGCAAUGAAGAAACUGGAGCAUGUAAGAUGAAUGAUAGACUACCAUUUAACUAAUUCAUAUGGCUUUGGAUCCAAUAAACAACUAUGGCUUCUUAAAACACAGGACAUGAACAACCAAGUACAAAUUUACUACUAAAAUGUGCGCUAACAAGACUACACAAUGAGAGGAUGCAAUUUAGAUCAGCUAGAGGGCAUAAUAUGGCAAAUUGUGGUGUUUAAAGCAAAUUUGAAAACUAAGAAACUACAAAAUGUACUUUUUUCCCUUUUGGUUUGCUCAAGACUAAUAACAAUGAUCGGGUUCAUAGUACCUAGAAUUAUAAUGGAGAAGAAUAUCAAACAUCCGUGAAACAAAACUAUUGACCCAAACUAUUGAAUCUCCAUUCAAAUAUUCUAAGUGCCCCUUGGACGAAGGACACGCCUAAAAAACAGCUUGUCUAAACAACUCCUGUGUAAACUAAAAUAAUCAAGUGUACUAUAGAUGAGGAAGAAUUCAUGGCGAGAUUAGAUUUCAAAUCUAGGUGGUGGGCUUGCCCAUAAAUAGAACCUAAUUGGCAUAUAUCUAGUUUGGUAUGGUGAUUUGAACAGGAAUGAUCUGGUGCUGCUGAUGCAUUUAAAAGGUUUGACAAAUUUUCGCAUGGUUUUAUUUUAAGGCCCCAUCCUCAGUCAUCUAAUCAUUUUCCACAUGCUAAUGGCCAUGAUGCACAUUGUUUGAUUCACCCUAAAGAACGAUCCCUCAUAUGGAAUAACAUAUGAACUAAGUUAUAGAAUAGACUUAUGGACAUGAACUCUUCCCAUAGGAGUUUAGCUAUAAUAAUUCAUGGUAGGAGGUAUUUUAAGCAUCUUAUUUGUUGGUGCAUGCAAGAAGGAGACCUAAGUUGACCUAGGCUCCCUUAUCCCUCUCGUACUCAUUAUGGGAGUUCCCCAAGGAUCUCCUCUCUUUAUACACUUAAGGCCUAUAACCAGGUGUAGUAUAAGACUCAGGUUGAUGACCACACCACUGAUACAAAAAUAGAGCGGACUUAAUAGUACAGAAUGAAAGACAAAUAGACAAGUGUUGGAGCAUAAAAACAUAAGAAACUCUCAGAAGAUUUUCGCAGUUCACAUACUCAUUAUUAAGCACAGAAGGGUCCUGCGACCAAGUCAAGCUGCAGUUCACAUAUUCUCAUUAUCAAGCUUAGAAGUUAGAAGAGUCCUGUGACCAAGUCAAGCUUCUAAAUCAUGAUAUCAACUAGAAGAAUAUGAAAAUAUGAUCAUGUUAAACUCAAGAUAUUAAUUUUUCCAGUGCAGUUGAACAAUAUUCACUUUCAGUUUCAUUGAUCAUCUAUAUGUAGCACAUUUAGGGCAAGUUUGGCAUUGCUAUAUUUUCUUUUUUAUUUUUAAAAAGAAAAUUAGAGAAAUCGAGACAAAAAACAUGUUUAUGCUAUUGUUUUUAUGUUCUGUUUUUCCUAAUUAUUUUUAUUAUUUCUAGAAAAAAUGAAAGUAAGAAAUCCUUACUUUCAAUAAUUUCAAUAAUAAGAAACUUAUAUUUUUUUACCACCACCAACACCUCCACUAUCACCGCCACCUUCACCACCUCUACUGCCACCAUUUCAUUGCCACCGAGGCCAUCACCUCCACCGUCAUUGUCACCUCUACCACCAUUGCUACCACAAGAGGGUCAUCACCUCCAUCAUUACCCCCUUUUGCAUGCCAUUGCCAUCAUCAUCGCCUCCACAUUGCCAGCACCCUUGGUGCAACUGCCAUCGUUAUUAUCAUCAUCGCCUCCACACCGAUGCCCCAUGCCCACUACUGUCGUUGCCACUUUCACUAUACCAAUAUAACCAUUAUCACCACCUCGGCCAUACCGCUAUCUCCCCUACCACCAGCACCAUUGCCGUCUUUAUUGCCUCUACUACAACUACACUCGAGCGCUACUAUCACCAUCUCCACCAUCAUUGCUAUGUUUAUGUUUUUUAAAAUAACUUAACUAUACCUAACACGUUUAUAUUUAAAAUUUAUUUUAACAAACAAAAAAGAUUUCUAUUUUUGUUUCUAAAAAAAAUCAAAUUGAUGCCAAACGGGACAUUAGUAUCCAUAUCAUAUUAGGAUUGUUGCCAGGUUUUAGAUACCGAUACCGAAUCCUGUAUUGUUUUUUCGUUAGAAUUAUAUGGUACGUGUAUUAAUCAUAUGCGUAGAAACUAACAAUAUAUUAUUACUCUAAAAGCAAGAACUUGCGGUGGAUCUUCAUCACCCCCUUGGUUGUAUACUACUAAGUUUACCAAACUACCCUCAAAUGUGUCUUUUAAAAUCUUUUAAAGAUGUGUUUUUAAGUGGGUCCUAGCUAUCCCAAACUGAAAAAGAAAAGCCAUAAAAACUACCAAAUAUAUACUUAUGAUAUGAAACAAGAUAUAACCCAACUUUAAGCCCCAUCAAGCUAUCUUGAUCAAGUUAAACUUUUGUGUCAAUUCAAAAUUAACUAAUUUUUAGUGAGGUGCUUAGUAUUUAUUUUGAGUAUGAAUACCAAAUUCAGGUUAGUACAAUUAAUUGCAUGAAUCAACUCAUUUAUAUUUGACAUGGUCUCAAGAUGCAUCAAGCUACUCACCUUAGACAUCAAUCAAAAUUUAAAAAAUAAUAAUAUAAUAUUAGAUGUAUUAUAAUAGAAUGACCGAAUUAACUCAUCAAAGCAACUUAUAUGUCAUUAGCAAGGAUGUAAAUUGGUCAAAUCAAGCUUUACUUUUCCAGAUCCACUGCUCUAAUCCUAGCCAAAAGAUAGACUUGUUAAAGAUCAUAUCAAAGCAAUGAUAUAACUCAAAACCCUUUUUGCCUGUAAAUAAAAUUAACUCAACAAACUACUUAAGCAAAUCCAGUCUAGCUAGGUUGAAUGCAUGGAAAGUUAAACAACUAGCUAGCUUAGAUAAAAGCCAUGCUUGUUCCAAAUCUGACAAGCCUUGAUCAAGUUCGAUUUUGGGCAGGUUUAACUCAAGUACAACUUCAAAUACUUAAAGUUGCCCUUCAAACUCUAUCGAAUUGCAAACUAAGCAGUAGCUUAAUGGUCACAGCCCCUUGCUUAGGAGCAAGGGGUACAGGUUUGAAUCUUGAAUUUAUCCUUCAAAUAUUUGAUCCUAUGUCGAGUCCCAGCAAAAACCCAGGUUUAGUUCCUUCGAGUGGGUGGGAUGUAAAUUCCCCCUAAUCUCAAAUAUAUAUAAUAUAAAUAUAAUUGAUAUCAUCAAGUAAGAAUGGACCAGGCCUACCUCUCUCCUUUGGUGUUCUGAUACUAGGUCCAUUUGAAUAGUAGAUGCAAACAAAAAGAAAGGGACAUAACCUCUAUUGGAAUUUGUCAUAUUAUAUGGAAAGAGGGAAGAAAAUAAACACAUUCAUUCAAUGUUUUAGCUGCCCUCUGACUGAAAAUCUUUCAACUACUAUAACUUCUAUUCAUGAUUGCUCUUAAAUCUGGCCAUAUCCAUCAUAAGCUACAGAAAGACGCAUGGCAUUUAGGUGAGGAUCCAGGAGGAGGUUUAGGUGCAUGAUGUAUACCAAAGUCUUUGGAACGUGCAUGAUUGGGCUGUAAACCUCACAACUAAAUCUUGUUAGACCGAGAUGGGUUCCAUUUGCAUAAAAAAACCCUCCAACAUUUCAACUCCCAAUCUCAACAUUCAUUGUGGACAUUCGUUGUUCAGGUUUGCCACAUGUCAAAAUUCUUAAAACUUCAAAUUAAUAGAUUUAACAUAUUAGUCGACUUAAUAUGUUAGGAUCUCUUCAUGUCCUUUCUCACUACUUAGAAGUUGAUAGACACGGGUGGCAAAGAAUAGAAUAACAAAAUUACUACGUAAUGCCAUGAAUAAAUUAAACUCAUUUCAAAAGAAACAUUUUUCACAUUAAUAUUGCUGACAAGUUAACAUUUAGAGUAUCAUAGAUAUAUAAAUGAUAGCAUACAAUAAUAGAAUUAUAAAAAACAUAAAAUAAUAUAAUUAAU
rnacentral:lncRNA from 1 species